rnacentral:rRNA from 1 species
AAUUAACGCUGGCAGUGUGCAUAAUACAUGCAAGUCGAGCGGAAUACGUUGCGUCGCAAGACGUGAUGUGUUUAGCGGCAGACGGGUGAGUAACACGUGAGAAAUCUGCCUUCGAGAAGAGGAUAACGCGCCGAAAGGCACGCUAAUACUCUGUACUAUCCCUAGAAGACAUCUUCAGGGGAUGAAAGCCUUCGGGCGCUCGAAGAGGAUCUUGCGGCCUAUCAGCUAGUUGGCGGGGUAAAAGCCCACCAAGGCUACGACGGGUAACCGGACUGAAAGGUCGAACGGUCACAGGGGCACUGAGACACGGGCCCC